AAGUCGUAACAAGGUUUCCGUAGGUGAACCUGCGGAAGGAUCAUUAUUGAAUUAACUUGUCGGGUUGUAACUGGCUUCUAGGAGCAUGUGCACACCCUUCAUCGUUUUUCCACCUGUGCACAUUUUGUAGUCCUGGAUACCUCUCGAGGCAACUCGGAUUGAGGGCUUGCAGUGCGAAAGCCGGCUUGCCCAUUACCGAUUUUGCCCAGGAUCUAAUUCGUUUUCAGUACACCCGUAAUAGAACUGUUAUAGAUUGUCAAUUUAUGGCUUUAGCUGGCCGCUUUUAAAACUUAUACAA
rnacentral:misc_RNA from 1 species